rnacentral:rRNA from 1 species
UUAAGCGACUAAGCGUACACGGUGGAUGCCCUGGCAGUCAGAGGCGAUGAAGGACGUGCUAAUCUGCGAUAAGCGUCGGUGAGGUGAUAUGAACCGUUAUAACCGGCGAUUUCCGAAUGGGGAAACCCAGUGUGUUUCGACACACUAUCAUUAACUGAAUCCAUAGGUUAAUGAGGCGAACCGGGGGAACUGAAACAUCUAAGUACCCCGAGGAAAAGAAAUCAACCGAGAUUCCCCCAGUAGCGGCGAGCGAACGGGGAGGAGCCCAGAGCCUGAAUCAGUGUGUGUGUUAGUGGAAGCGUCUGGAAAGGCGCGCGAUACAGGGUGACAGCCCCGUACACAAAAAUGCACAUAUUGUGAGCUCGAUGAGUAGGGCGGGACACGUGGUAUCCUGUCUGAAUAUGGGGGGACCAUCCUCCAAGGCUAAAUACUCCUGACUGACCGAUAGUGAACCAGUACCGUGAGGGAAAGGCGAAAAGAACCCCGGCGAGGGGAGUGAAAAAGAACCUGAAACCGUGUACGUACAAGCAGUGGGAGCACCUUCGGGUGUGACUGCGUACCUUUUGUAUAAUGGGUCAGCGACUUAUAUUCUGUAGCAAGGUUAACCGUAUAGGGGAGCCGCAGGGAAACCGAGUCUUAACUGGGCGUUAAGUUGCAGGGUAUAGACCCGAAACCCGGUGAUCUAGCCAUGGGCAGGUUGAAGGUUGGGUAACACUAACUGGAGGACCGAACCGACUAAUGUUGAAAAAUUAGCGGAUGACUUGUGGCUGGGGGUGAAAGGCCAAUCAAACCGGGAGAUAGCUGGUUCUCCCCGAAAGCUAUUUAGGUAGCGCCUCGUGAAUUCAUCUCCGGGGGUAGAGCACUGUUUCGGCAAGGGGGUCAUCCCGACUUACCAACCCGAUGCAAACUGCGAAUACCGGAGAAUGUUAUCACGGGAGACACACGGCGGGUGCUAACGUCCGUCGUGAAGAGGGAAACAACCCAGACCGCCAGCUAAGGUCCCAAAGUCAUGGUUAAGUGGGAAACGAUGUGGGAAGGCCCAGACAGCCAGGAUGUUGGCUUAGAAGCAGCCAUCAUUUAAAGAAAGCGUAAUAGCUCACUGGUCGAGUCGGCCUGCGCGGAAGAUGUAACGGGGCUAAACCAUGCACCGAAGCUGCGGCAGCGACACUAUGUGUUGUUGGGUAGGGGAGCGUUCUGUAAGCCUGUGAAGGUGUACUGUGAGGUAUGCUGGAGGUAUCAGAAGUGCGAAUGCUGACAUAAGUAACGAUAAAGCGGGUGAAAAGCCCGCUCGCCGGAAGACCAAGGGUUCCUGUCCAACGUUAAUCGGGGCAGGGUGAGUCGACCCCUAAGGCGAGGCCGAAAGGCGUAGUCGAUGGGAAACAGGUUAAUAUUCCUGUACUUGGUGUUACUGCGAAGGGGGGACGGAGAAGGCUAUGUUGGCCGGGCGACGGUUGUCCCGGUUUAAGCGUGUAGGCUGGUUUUCCAGGCAAAUCCGGAAAAUCAAGGCUGAGGCGUGAUGACGAGGCACUACGGUGCUGAAGCGACAAAUGCCCUGCUUCCAGGAAAAGCCUCUAAGCAUCAGGUAACAUCAAAUCGUACCCCAAACCGACACAGGUGGUCAGGUAGAGAAUACCAAGGCGCUUGAGAGAACUCGGGUGAAGGAACUAGGCAAAAUGGUGCCGUAACUUCGGGAGAAGGCACGCUGAUAUGUAGGUGAAGCGACUUGCUCGUGGAGCUGAAAUCAGUCGAAGAUACCAGCUGGCUGCAACUGUUUAUUAAAAACACAGCACUGUGCAAACACGAAAGUGGACGUAUACGGUGUGACGCCUGCCCGGUGCCGGAAGGUUAAUUGAUGGGGUUAGCGGUAACGCGAAGCUCUUGAUCGAAGCCCCGGUAAACGGCGGCCGUAACUAUAACGGUCCUAAGGUAGCGAAAUUCCUUGUCGGGUAAGUUCCGACCUGCACGAAUGGCGUAAUGAUGGCCAGGCUGUCUCCACCCGAGACUCAGUGAAAUUGAACUCGCUGUGAAGAUGCAGUGUACCCGCGGCAAGACGGAAAGACCCCGUGAACCUUUACUAUAGCUUGACACUGAACAUUGAGCCUUGAUGUGUAGGAUAGGUGGGAGGCUUUGAAGUGUGGACGCCAGUCUGCAUGGAGCCGACCUUGAAAUACCACCCUUUAAUGUUUGAUGUUCUAACGUGGGCCCCUUACCGGGGUUGCGGACAGUGUCUGGUGGGUAGUUUGACUGGGGCGGU